rnacentral:rRNA from 1 species
AGCGUAGGUGGCUCGAUAAGUCAGAUGUGAAAUCCCCGGGCUCAACCUGGGAACUGCAUCUGAUACUGUUGAGCUAGAGUAUGUGAGAGGAAGGUAGAAUUCCAGGUGUAGCGGUGAAAUGCGUAGAGAUCUGGAGGAAUACCGAUGGCGAAGGCAGCCUUCUGGCAUAAUACUGACACUGAGGCUCGAAAGCGUGGGUAAGCAAACA